CUUGCAAAUAGCUCCCAGCCCACUGACUCGGGUUUCUGGAUCAGGAGACAAACAGAGAAGGCAGCCUAAAGUACUUCUUUCCUCACUGCAGCUCAGGAAGGAGAGCUUUGAGGAGCACCACGGAUGGCCCCGACAGGAAGGGUUUCGGAGCCUGCGGGGAACCUGGGCCUGUGUUUCCUGCCAUCUGUCCCCGGGGACCCCUGCCUGGUCCCGAUCCCAGUGGAGGAGCCCAGAGAGCUGUCGUUCGUGGGCACACCUAUCAGUAGUGACCACGUCAGAAAUUAAAACUGAGAAGUUAAAGACCUA